rnacentral:sRNA from 1 species
UUCGUCUGUCGUUUAUGAGGAUGAGUACCUCCGCAGGAGGUUCGAGCCUCGCGAAGCGAGACAACGUUGCUUCAGCAACGGCCCGCAGGGCG